rnacentral:rRNA from 1 species
UUCCGGUUGAUCCUGCCGGACCCUACUGCUAUCGGGAUGGGACUAAGACAUGCUAGUCGUGCGCCUCCAAGCCAUGGUGGAGGCGCGGCGCACAGCUCAGUAACACGUGGUUAACCUGCCCUUGGGACGGAAACACCCCCGGGGAACUGGGGCUAAUUUCCGAUAGGUGAAGGCUCCUGGAAUGGAUCUUCGCCUAAAGGGCGCUUAGGCCAUGCUUCUAGGCGCUGCCCAAGGAUGGGGCCGCGGCCGAUCAGGUUGUUGGUGAGGUAAUGGCUCACCAAGCCUUUAACCGGUUCGGGCCGUGGGAGCGGGAGCCCGGAGAUGGGCACUGAGACAAGGGCCCAGGCCCUACGGGGCGCAGCAGUCGCGAAAACUCCGCAAUACGCGAAGGCGUGACGGGGCUAUCCCGAGUGCCGUCCGCUGAGGAUGGCUUUUCCCUAGUGUAGAUAGCUGGGGGAAUAAGGAGAGGGCAAGUCUGGUGUCAGCCGCCGCGGUAAUACCAGCUCUCCGAGUGGUGGGGACGUUUAUUGGGCCUGAAGCAUCCGUAGCCAGCUGAGCAAGUCCCCAGUUAAAUCCAGCGAUUUAAUCGUUGGACUGCUGGGGAUACUGUCCGGCUAGGGGGUGGGAGAGGCCGACGGUAUUCCCGGGGUAGGGGUGAAAUCCUAUAAUCCCGGGAGGACCACCAGUGGCGAAGGCUGUUGGCUAAAACAUGCCCGACGGUGAGGGAUGAAAGCUGGGGGAGCGAACCGGAUUAGAUACCCGGGUAGUCCCAGCUGUAAACGAUGCAGGCUAGGUGUUAGGGCGGCCACGUGCCGCUCUAGUGCCGCAGGGAAGCUGUUAAGCCUGCCGCCUGGGGAGUACGGCCGCAAGGCUGAAACUUAAAGGAAUUGGCGGGA